CAGCGGAGGGAUCAUUACCGAGUUUACAACUCCCAAACCCACUGUGAACUUAUACCCAAAACGUUGCCUCGGCGGGCACAGCGGUACCCGAGCCCCCCGCAAGGGAGCAGAGGCGCCCGCCCGCCAGGGGACCAAAACUCUUCUGUAUACCCAUAGCGGCAUGUCUGAGUGGAUUUCAAAACAAAUGAAUCAAAACUUUCAACAACGGAUCUCUUGGUUCUGGCAUCGAUGAAGAACGCAGCGAAAUGCGAUACGUAAUGUGAAUUGCAGAAUUCAGUGAAUCAUCGAAUCUUUGAACGCACAUUGCGCCCGCCAGUAUUCUGGCGGGCAUGCCUGUUCGAGCGUCAUUUCAACCCUCAAGCCCUUGCUUGGUGUUGGGGACCGGCUCAGCGGGUGCGGGCUUCGGCCCGUCCCGUGCCGCCCCCGAAAUGGAUCGGCGGUCUCGUCGCAGCCUUCUUUGCGUAGUAACAUACCACCUCGCAACAGGAGCGCGGCGCGGCCACUGCCGUAAAACGCCCAACUUUUUUAGAGUUGACCUCGAAUCAGGUAGGAAUACCCGCUGAACUUAAGCAUAUCAAU
rnacentral:rRNA from 1 species